rfam:Dendroctonus ponderosae Seq01039681, whole genome shotgun sequence.
AUUAAGGUUUUCUUCAAAACCAAUCACAAAACUAAAAGUUUUUAU